rnacentral:rRNA from 1 species
GCCAGACUCCUACGGGAGGCAGCAGUGGGGGAUAUUGCACAAUGGGGGAACCCUGAUGCAGCGACGCCGCGUGGGUGAAGGAGUGCUUCGGCAUGUAAAGCCCUAUCGGCAGGGAAGAAGCAAGACGGUACCUGACUAAGAAGCCCCGGCUAACUACGUGCCAGCAGCCGCGGUAAUACGUAGGGGGCAAGCGUUAUCCGGAUUUACUGGGUGUAAAGGGGGCGCAGACGGCAGCGCAAGCCAGGAGUGAAAGCCCGGGGCCCAACCCCGGGACUGCUCUUGGAACUGCGCGGCUGGAGUGCAGGAGGGGCAGGCGGAAUUCCUGGUGUAGCGGUGAAAUGCGUAGAUAUCAGGAGGAACACCGGUGGCGAAGGCGGCCUGCUGGACUGCGACUGACGUUGAGGCCCGAAAGCGUGGGGAGCAAACAGGAUUAGAUACCCCGGUAA